rnacentral:ncRNA from 2 species
ACUAAGGGUAGAGGCGCAUCGUCUAUUAGUAGUAAAUCUUAGGGUGAUUCCGAUGAGGGUUUGCGAAAGGAGCCGAUGCCGAAGUAAGUAUGGACUAUCAAGCCUGCUUGCUGGGGUUGUCACCGAACAGGGGCAACACUGCCAUAGUAUAUAAUUACAUUAACUAUGGAGCGCUACUGUGGAG